CACCAAACUUUUUGUUACCAACAAACCAUCUAUCAUUGCUCCACACUCGGUAUGGUAUGGUCCCUUUUUGUAGAUGGCCUUCCCACUGACGAAUUCUUAAAAAAUGCCCUGAUUGAAAGGUAGCCUUUCUGGCAUCGCCCCUCCCCCACAUUUGAUCAUGAGAUGCUUGUCGUUGUGCGGCAUUUGACUUAGCGAUGGUGGUCCAUUUCAGAAAUGUUCACAAUUGUAGGAGAAUGAAAAUAAAUAGCACUUGCCAGACCACCCAAAGCAAUUAUAAAUUAGCUUUCAUUUAUAAAAUCUAUGGAAAAAGUUGUGACUUUAAUGCAUGCAAUAAAUACUAUUAUAAACUGUACAAAUGAUGAAAAUUUUUGAUCUGGAAACAUUUUUUUUGAACCAGUCGGUUGAAUUGACCUUAUUACACCCCCCCCCCUUAAGAAUUUCCUGAGGACGGCCCUGACCACAUCAUACGUAUCACAUACUCCGCCAUACCACAGUAUACCCUACUCCACCAUGCAACAUGGCACCACACCAUACCAUACCAAACCAUACCAUAACAUAUACCACAUCGUACCACCCACACUUAUAACCAUACAAUAUGACACAACACUAUGCCACAUCUACUUUCACACCUUACUGUAACACACUACACCAUAGCAAUGAUACAAUGGCACCACGCCUUGCCACACCACACUGCAUCGUACUAUAUUACUCUACACCAUACCCUGCUAUACCAUAGCUUACCAUACUACACCAUACCAAACUGUUCCAAACCUUACCACAACAUUCAUACCAAUUGCCAUACCACACUGUGCGAUGAGGUUGUUCGUCUCACAUCAUGAUGUUUGUCCUGCAUGUUUGAAUCUUUACCAGGUUUAUUUCUUGGAGAGGUCACUUUUUUUCUGUUGAGCAAGUCUGGGUCCAGAUCAUCCAGGCCCAAAAACCAUAUGAAAAUCACAACUAGCUAGCUUUAUAUUAGUGCAUGGGGAGUUUCAACGAACAAUUAUAACUGGCAUGUUGGUAGGGGUUCAGGGAGAUUAUAGGGGAGCUAAAUGUAGCUACAUGGUAUAAAAAUCAGGAUUUGGGGCACUUCACUCGAUAGAUUUUACACUGGUGUCACAUUGGUAUACAUAUAUGCACGAACUUGCAGUUAAAGCUUGUCACCCGAACUCUGUAGGCUGUAGCUGAGUUGGUUAGAGCGCUACAUUGGAAUCGCAGGUUCGAUUCCUGCCAGAGGGCCU